UACGUAGGGUGCGAGCGUUGUCCGGAAUUAUUGGGCGUAAAGAGCUCGUAGGCGGUCUGUCGCGCGGUCGUGAAAACUUGGGGCUUAACCCUGAGCUUGCGGUCGAUACGGGCAUGACUGGAGUUCGGCAGGGGGAGACUGGAAAUCCUGGUGUAGCGGUGAAAUGCGCAGAGUAAUCAGGAGGAACACCGGUGGCGAAGGCGGGGUCUCUGGGGCCGAUGACUGACGUUGGAGGGAGCGAAAGCGUGGGGAGCAAACAGG
rnacentral:rRNA from 1 species